rnacentral:rRNA from 1 species
GACGAACGCUGGCGGCGUGCUUAACACAUGCAAGUCGAACGGAAAGGCCCUGCUUUUGUGGGGUGCUCGAGUGGCGAACGGGUGAGUAACACGUGAGUAACCUGCCCUUUACUUUGGGAUAACUUCAGGAAACUGGGGCUAAUACCGGAUAGGCGCUCCUGCUGCAUGGUGGGGGCUGGAAAGUUUCGGCGGUUGGGGAUGGACUCGCGGCUUAUCAGCUUGUUGGUGGGGUAGUGGCUUACCAAGGCUUUGACGGGUAGCCGGCCUGAGAGGGUGACCGGCCACAGUGGGACUGAGAUACGGACCAGACUCCUACGGGAGGCAGCAGUGGGGAAUAUUGCACAAGGGGCGGAAGCCUGAUGCAGCAACGCCGCGUGCGGGAUGACGGCCUUCGGGUUGUAGACCGCUUUCUCCUGUGACGAAGCGUGAGUGACGGUAAUGGGUAAAGAAGCACCGGCUAGCUACGUG